UUGACCUCAAAUCGGGUGAGACUACCCGCUGAACUUAAGCAUAUCAAUAAGCGGAGGAAAAGAAACUAACANGGAUU
rnacentral:rRNA from 1 species